AUCGUAUUUACCCAAAAAUACGGCGCGGAUCAAUGCGCAGGGGCUUUUUUUUCCCUUGCUUUUUUUCCCCCCUCUCCCACCCCCUUCUCUCCGCUGAUCCCCGCGACCUGCGUUUUCCUGGGGGUCCGCAACUCUGGACCCAAGGCGCCCGCCAGCCCCGCAGGACGGCUCCUGUCUCAUCAGGGAACCCCCCUUGCCCAUGUCCACCCGUCAGCAGCUGGCUCCCCCCCGCUAGGAGGAUUUUUUAAUGGGGUGAAAAUGCCAGUCCCCGAAGCCAGGGUUCCCGGACCCCUAGGGCUGCCCUGGGCGCGGGAGCCCCAUAGGGGCGGGGAGGCCAGCCGAGCUUGAAGAAGUGGAGGAGAGAUCUACACAACUUAAGUGGGGCAUGCCCAUCCCGUCAGCCUGCUUACCCUCCUCUGCCCCCAGCUCCAUCUCUGCGACACCUUCCCCCCCAAAAAGAAGUCGCUCCCUCGUUCUGUCUGCAGAGAGCCUGGGUGAGAGCGGGCGAGGCAAGAGAGCGACCUCGGUCGUGGGCAAGUAGCUUGUUUUUACGUCCUUCAAUAAAAUUUUUAUGAGGAUCA